UUACACGUUUUUGACAAUUUUAUUACAGAACACGUUUUUAAAAACAUUUAAAUUUAUGAUAGCCUCAGCCUUGUAUGGUGACACAGUGAGUCUACAAUUUUUUAAAUAUCUUAUGUAGAAAUCGAAGCGGUUCGUCGCGUCUUGUAUGACCUGGAGCCCGAGGCGGCCCGACCCGAAUGGUGAAUUUUUGCCCGUCUGCCUUUUGAUUUUACGUUUACGUUACCGGAAAGUAGGUUGUUCUGCUUCCGCUUCUGCUCGUCCGUAAGCACCGCACUGAAAACGUAAUCCCCGUCAUCCUUAUCACCGUUAACCUUGGUCACCGCAUCACUCUUAUCACCAGCACCGUUUUUAUCAUUAGCACCCUCGCCGGCGCCCGCGGACGGCUUCUUGUACCGAAACUUGUUGAUCAUAUUACCGGAUCGACAUAACAAACACACUGGCAAACACCCGAACGUGCGCAACGGGGCUAUGGUGGUACGCAACGACCGAUGGUACCAGCACUGACUGCGCGACCGAUGGGUUUGAACUUUGCAUGGGCAAUGGCGAGAGAGAACGAGAGAGGUUUCGUUAGAGGUGCACACUCGGGGGCACACAGAUGUGUUUGCGAAUCUAUCAGCUGUUUCAGGCAUGAUUUGUUCUUGCACUCGCCGGAUGUGUAUCCUUCAAGAGCUAUUUACCAAGAGGAAAUUAUUUUGUGUAAUAAGUCUACAGGAUACAAUAAAUUACACCAAUUAAAUGACAUUUCCAUCACAUUUCGCCACGUCUAAACUGACAUCUUAAGCCAUAAACUGACAAAAAGACAAUUUUUUCAGUUUUAUUACUGUUGGCGUCGAAAACAUAACGUUUUUGAGGAAAGACCAAGAAAGUUAGUUUGGUGCCCCGUAAAACUACCUGCCUAAUCUACCUGUUACGAAACAAACGGACAAAAGGGCACGUUGUCAAGGUGCAAGUUAUAGACAACCAGUGACGUCCGUCAACCAGCCAACAUUUCCUCAGAGCCUUUGUUCCCUGCGUUUGGUAACUGGAUGAUUCAUUACAGAAAUACGUCGUGUACAAGAACAACGUUACAGUUCUAACCAAUGACUCAUGAAUAAUCAUAAAAUUUACCAAUUUUCAUUUUACAUUUUGGCGGUUUUAUUUAAAGUUUACUACGAUAAAGUGGGUCGUGGUGUUUCGACACGGUUUUUGAAUGGUACAGAGUCACUUUCUAUGAACCGAACACCGUGUUUUGUAAUACAAUCUCGAUGAUAAUUAUAAGAUGACUAUGUUAAUGUGACUAGUCGUUCCACAUAAAAGUCCGACACACGUGAACCGUUAUUUAUUUUACUAUUAUUAUUAUUAUUUAAUUUUUUUCUGAUCAAACUAAUUACGUUUGGUUUCUAAUUAAUUCAUGGUUUGCACGUGCACAUCAAUGGAAAUUCUUCAGCUAUUAGAUAAUUUUUAUUUUGGCAAGUUAUAAACAACAACUUAAAGCAUUAGGGUUUGGUCAAAUAAUUAAUUAAUUAUUUUUACAACGUAAAAUAAGUAACGUUCAUUAUUGAAAAUAUUAAAAUAUAUUGUGGUGACCUCGAGAAAGGAUUUUAGGCGUCAUAUAAAAAUACCUUAGAGCCUAAAAGUGAUGAGAGACAGACACCAUCACAUGUGACCUGGAUGCAU